rnacentral:rRNA from 1 species
UACGGAGGGUGCAAGCAUUGAUCGGAAUUACUGGGCGUAAAGGGCGCGUAGGCGGCUGAGAAAGUCAGAUGUGAAAUUCCGGGGCUCAACCCCGGAGCUGCAUUUGAAACUUCUCAGCUCGAGUUCAGUUAGGGAAAACGGAAUUCCACGUGUAGCGGUGAAAUGCGUAGAUAUGUGGAAGAACACCGGUGGUGAAGACGGUUUUCUGGGCUGAGACUGACGCUGAGGCGCGAAAGCUAGGGGAGCAAACAGG